rnacentral:lncRNA from 1 species
AAAGAGGAAGAGGAAUCUGGACAUCUGUAUCAGGACAGUGAGAGGAAGAGGAACCUGGACAUCUGUAUCAGGACAGAGAGAGGAAGAGGAACCUGGACAUCUGUACCAGACACAGAGAGGAAGAGGAGCCUGGACAUCUGUAUGAGACAGAGAGAGGUAGAGGUACCUGGACAUCUGUAUCAGGACAGUGAGAGGAAGAGGAACCUGGACAUCUGUAUCAGGAUAGAGAGAGGAAGAGGAACCUGGACAUCUGUACCAGACACAGAGAGGAAGAGGAGCCUGGACAUCUGUAUGAGACAGAGAGAGGUAGAGGAACCUGGACAUCUGUAUCAGGACAGUGAGAGGAAGAGGAACCUGGACAUCUGUAUCAGGACAGAGAGAGGAAGAGGAACCUGGACAUCUGUACCAGACACAGAGAGGAAGAGGAGCCUGGACAUCUGUAUGAGACAGAGAGAGGUAGAGGAACCUGGACAUCUGUAUGAGACAGAGAGAGGAAGAGGAACCUGGACAUCUGUAUCAAGACAGAGAGAGGAAGAGGAACCUGGACAUCUCUAUCAGGACAGAGAGAGGAAGAGGAACCUGGACAUCUGUAUCAGGACAGAGAGAGGAAGAGGAACCUUAACAUCUGUAUCAGACAGAGUGAGGAAGCGGAACCUGGUCAUCUGUAUCAGGACAGAGAGAGGAAGAGGAACCUGUACAUCUGUAUCAGGACAGAGAAAGGAAGACGAACCUGGACAUCUGUAUCAGACAGAGAGAGGUAGAGGAACCUGGACAUCUGUAUCAGACAGAAAGAUGAAGAGGAACCUGGACAUCUGUAUCAGGACAGUGAGAG